rnacentral:rRNA from 1 species
AUUUUGACCCAAAUAUACCUGAAGCACACUCCAGGUCCGUUCAGUUUUGAGAUGCAUGCUCAGUUUGAUACUGACGAGGUAACAAUGGAAUGGCCUAUCGGGACCAGCUGGACGGGCUAAGUCCGAGUCCAGACAAGGCCGUAUGUUAAAUACCAGCUGCAAUAGAAGAAAUAUUGAUAGUUGAAGCAUGGUGACAUAGGCUGUCAGUUGCACGAUUUGUUCGUGGGACGGACAGGUCAACCUAUGCCUUAUGCAUUGUGGCUAACCGCAUCUUCCUUUUGGGUUAGCGCUGAGGCAGAACCAGGACGAUUAAUAAAAUGAAAGUUUGAGUAGUCAAAGCAGUCCUUUGAUAUGAUAUAUUAGCAUAGAAUAAUAGAAUAGGAGGCAUGGUUCUAUUGGUUUCUAUGAUAGUACCAUCGAUAAAUAUUAGUAGGUCGGGGGCGGGGGCUUCAGUAUUCAGUGAUGAGAGGUGAAAUUCUUGGAUUGAGUGAAGACUAACGAAAGCGAAAGCAUUUGCCAGUUUUCGUUUUCAUUAAUCAAGAACGAAAGUUAGGGGAUAUGAAGAUGAUCAGAUAGUAGUCGUAGUCUUAACCAUAAACUAUGCCGAGAUAGGGAUCGUGUUGGUGUUACGUUGCACUCUCGCACACCAUGAGAGAAUAUCAAAGUUUGUGGUUUGGGGGGAGAGUAUUGUCACAAGGGUGAAAUAAAAAGGAAUUGGGAGAAGCGCCCCCCCGAGAGGAGCGCCUGGGGUAUAAUUUGUCUCCACGGGGAGAAUCUCACCAUGUCCACACGUAAUAAGGAGACACAAGGAGGAGUCUUUUUUUGAUUUGUGGGGGGGGGGGCCAGGCCCGUUUUUAGUCCUGGGAGGGAUUGUUUUGUUUAAUUGGGAUAACGGACGAGCCUUUACCUUGUUAAAUAGGGUGGCGACCAUUUGCUGGGGUGCUCUUCUUAGAGGGACUAUGGGUAUCAAACCCAUGGAAGUUUGAGGCAACAACAGGUCUGUGAUGCCCUUAGACGUUCUGGGCCGCACGCGCGCUACACUGACGGAGCCAGCAAGUCCAACCUUGGCCGAGAGGUCCGGGUAAUCUUGUGAAACUCCGUCGUGCUGGGGAUAGAGCAUUGUAAUUUUUGCUCUUCAACGAGGAAUUCCUAGUAAGCGCAAGUCAUCAGCUUGCGUUGAUUACGUCCCUGCCCUUUGUACACACCGCCCGUCGCUACUACCGAUUGAAUGGCUUAGUGAGGCUUCAAGAUCGUGCGCAGAAGAAGGGGCGACUCUCACUCAAAGAGCCAGUUAGCGU